rnacentral:rRNA from 1 species
GUAGGGAAUCUUCCACAAUGGACGCAAGUCUGAUGGAGCAACGCCGCGUGAGUGAUGAAGGGUUUCGGCUCGUAAAACUCUGUUGUUGGAGAAGAACGGGUGUCAGAGUAACUGUUGACAUCGUGACGGUAUCCAACCAGAAAGCCACGGCUAACUACGUGCCAGCAGCCGCGGUA